ensembl:lncRNA
CUGAGAGAUGCCCUAUCCACAAGACCCACGUACAAGCCUUACCGACUCAUGCUAAGAUGAAGCUUCUACUGGCACUUUGUGCAGUUUGGAACAUCAUCCAACUAUCAGAGGGCUGUUCUUCUGGAAGUACUGUACAAGAUUCCAUUGUACUGUCCAUUUUGUUCAUGUUCAGAUUUAUGUCCAGGAGUAAAAGCUCAUAACAUAGGUGACAUUGGUUGUGAUAAAAGGGUGUGUUUCUUCCCAGAAAUCACAGAAAUGACAGAUCGACUCGCCUGUGUAUCUGAUUAUUGGUUUACAAUUACCUGUACUUUGAACAUCACUGACGAGCCUACAGAUGUCAACAACACCCACUACUGGUUGAAUUUCAUCUGGCCUGAUGAAGCUGGGAACACAUUCAAAUGUCCACUGGUGGAGAUGGGGGACAGUUAUGGUUGCACAUUUGUGGCUGAUUUUGAUGAGAAUGUAAGGUAUAACGACGCUUCAUUUAAUAGCGUGGACUGUUUCAAUGUGCGUCUUUGUUAUAACAUUGACUGCCAAUCAAACUAUGAUAACUUGACAGACUUCGAACCAUCCAAAAAUAUUCAACCAACAGCUCCAAGUCAUCUCGCUGUCCAGUGGACUUUAGAGGGUUACAAAUGCACUUGGCAAAGUGGAUAUGAACACCAUCCUUAUUUAACAGAGUUCCAUUACCAACUCUGCUUCUACAAAUACCAUGGCGAUAAGGGCGAGGUGUUUUGUGUGUCCCCUCAAAACAAAUCUAUUUUAAUUGAUAGAUCUGGACUUAAGCCAGAUACCACA